ensembl:lncRNA
GCUCCCCCACCCCAACCCAGCAUUCCUUGACAGAAACACAACUAAAUAUUUAAUUAAACAUCUGUAUACAAUAUUGAAUUACACACAAAACAAAACAAAAUAAUAUAAACAUGUCAGGUACACUGUUAAAAAGGCAGUACCAGUACUUCCAGUGCUUUUUUCCGCUUUUGAGCGGUUACGUGCCUCAAUUUGGCUUGCCUGUCCUCCUUCACUGCAGUGAGCUUUGCUCACCACUGGUUGAUGGCUGGCACUCAAACUCUUCAUGCCUCUCUUUUUACUUCAACAAGGCCUUUUGUCUGCGAGCCUUGUCUGUUGUUCCUGCAGUGUGGAUGUUCCUGCAGAGGACCUUAUCGACCCUGGAGAGCUUCCUGUCAUCUCUCUUGAACAUCUGGAUGGCUGUCUGACUCCUGGACCUGAGGGCAUAUUUGGUUGUCUGGAUAGCAUUGUAGGUUGCCAUGCUCAUUUUAGUGCUUUUGUUGGUAAUUAUGUCUCUCAUGGCACUAAAUGAUGACUCUACCAUGGGUCCGUGGAAAAUGGAGAGAGCCCCUCAAACCACGUGGUUUAGGCCUGGGUACCUGCCAGUGUCCAUUACAUCUGCCCACCAGUUUACCAUGUUGUCACCAUCAAUGUACAGGGGAAGGGUGGAAUCCACAUUGAAUUUCACCACUUCCAGUGGCACGUCACACUGGGGUGGCACCAAGUGGCUCAUCAUCCCUGGCCCUGACAGCCGCUUCAGCAGUAUGCCAGUCUCUGAGUGGCCUCUCACCAAUGGGUCCAGAGCAGACAGUGCCUGUAGGGUCCUGCUGUUUAGUGGCAGCUUUUUCUGCAUGUAGGCUGCUGUUGACAUGUAUGCAGUCUUCACUGUGUCGAGAACCUGCAGCACAAUGGAUUGGACUUGGAUUUUCUGCCUUCAGUUUCUCAGCCACCGGUCCGACAUAAAGCUCCCUGAGAGGCAGCAUUUUGUCCCUGAACUCCAUCUCCAUGAGCUUCUUUGGAGUGGUGUGAAGAUGCUCAGCCUUGAUAAAGCAGGGCAUGAAAUUCGUGACCACUCCAAGCUGCUUGUCAUGCAGUUUGUGGACAAGGGUUUGGCUACCCUGGAACACUAUCACAUACUCCUUGAGGAUGUCAUGGACGCCUAGGUAAACGCUCAGCUAGAGGUUAGUGUUGAGACUCUCGAACCAGAGUUUCUUCACCACCCUCCCUUUUCUGUCCUUACCAACUUGUGUCAUUCCUUUUUUGGAGAGGUCCUGAUGGAAAUAUUGGAUCCUGACCUUUGCCCGCUCACCAACACUACGGUCCUUGUAGAUCUCCUGUAGGACGUCUUCAUAAAGGGUCUUGUCUGCCUGACUGAGGAAUCCAAAGUACAGGACCUGGAAUGCAGGCAACAUUCGGCGGGUGCUGAUCCACACAUCAUAAGCCGAAAGCCACCGAUGUGCCACAAACCGUUGUGGGUUCGUUCCAUGAAUGCCCAUAAAGUCACAGAUCUCAAUCAGGUAUUUCAACUGGUCUGAAGCCCACUGGUGGUCUGUGUGAAGGUCAGCGAAGAGCUGCUCGAGGUGGUGGCCGAAGGGGGCAGCAAACUGUUUGGCGGCAUUGUGGAUGUGGUGGCAAGAAUCUCCAUCAACAUCCAAGAGGUUCUGGCAGUGCGUCCCUCUGAUUCUGGUCUCCAGCCCAGACUUGCUCCCACGCAUGACCUUACAGGAGUCCAUCAUCAUACUGAUAAGGUUGGCAAAAUGAAUUUUAUGGUCAUUGAAAAAGGUCACUAAGGCCAAUUCCAAAUAUAUAGAGCAGUGCCCUUUAGGAUUUCAAUGGAGCAAAGGUGUUCAACUACCACAUGCUUCAGCUCCUGAUUGAAAUAGCACACAAGAAUGGACAACACCUUCUUAUUGGAGUUUGAUGUGCUCUCAUCUAAGUUAAUUGACAAUGGUGUUGACCGGAUGCUCUCAAACGUCCUCUCUGAGAAGGUGUGGCCCAGGCCCUGGACCAACUUGUAUGAGGCAGCAGUCCGGGACAGCUUCAUGCCCGUCAAAGCUGGUUUAUCCCGAGCCAGUGUCUGGGCAAGCUCAACAAUGACAGGAGCUACAGAUAAGGGGAGGGAAUGUUCUGCAAUGGUUCCAAGAACCAGUGCCUGAAAAAAAAUAUGUUUUAGUAUUUUAUAUGAUACCCCCUGCAAAGCACAUGUAAAUAAUACUUCUUUAUAAAAAAACGUUUUCCUUGUCUGCUUAUCUAGGCUUAAUACUUUAAUGAUCUAAUGAACAACUGGUACAUACUGGCUAACUAACACCCACUUCUGCAUUUGCUGCCCUUUCAAAGAGUGGUACUGGCACCUUCACUCUUUCCCUCAUCUGCUGAGGGCCAGGCAUUGAUGAGCUCUGCUGUGAUGGGCCAGGCAUUGAUGAGCUCUGCUGUGAUGGGCCAGACAUUGAUGGUCCCUGCUGUGACUGGCCCUGAGUUGUUGACACUAAUAUGCUAGGUGUGGUCAUAAUACCCACCACCUUUUGGGUAUGUUUUUCCGUUUUACAAUGUGCCAAAAGGGCAUGGGAGCCCUUGGUAGAAUAAUUUAUCUCUUUGCAACAUAGGCUGCAUUGGGCAUGGCCUGGUUUGUCAAUUUUUUUGAAAAACUGUGAGAGGGGGAAUACAUAUUCUACUCCCUUCACAUUGCUUUUAGAGUCUAGCUCCAGCCAGGACCAUGACCAUUUGCACCUGACUCCUGCCUCUAGUUGAGCCACAGUAAUGGCAUCCUCCUCGUCAAAAUCUCUCAUUCUGAAAGCAAACUGAAUUGGGAGAGUGGUAAGUUUGCUAGCUAGGCUUUCAUACUUACAUACAUACAUACAUACAUACAACUCAAACAUGCUUUACAUUGCAAUAAACAGGCAUAUUAUUAACAGUAUUAACAGUAGGUAUAAAAAGGCAUUUAAAAACUUGGCUAGCUAACCAUGUUGGCAAGCUAAAAGAAAAAUCUAACUUGACAAGUUAACAUUAACACCUAAAUAAUUACUUCAGAAACAGAUUGCUUACCGUAAAACUUACCGAGUGCAGCUUCCUGAAGUGUUGUAACGUUGUAUCUCACUAAAGUGUUGUAACGUUUUCUCUCACUGGAAAGCCGGGCAUGAAGUACCGUUGUAAACUAUUUUUUCUAUCUUUUUGCCAACGGGACGUAACGGUACGUUUUUACGCGUAAUUUCGCCUCGUCAUCAUUAAACGUAAGUCAUCAUGAAACGUAAAAAACAAAUAAUGAUAAAAUAAAAUACAUAUUAAUAUGUAUCUACUGAUUUGUGCUUGUAAUGUAAUUUUUAUAUGAUUACAAUCAUUCCAAACAUUUUUAUAAUCAAAAUCACUGAAUUUGACCAUGUCGUGUUCAAACAGAGAGGCGACUCGCGAGAUGAGGCAGCGAUGAGCUGCACCUCAUCUCAGAUUGUGCAAUCCCCCACACACUGGAUUGAGUGCAUGCCUUUUGCUUUCUCAUUGUUUGUCAUCACUGAAAUAUUUGUAUACACUUUUAUUAUAUGUCAUUUGUAUCCAUAGAAUAGGUCAUGUAUUUCACGUACGUGUAGAAGGCAAGGCAAUUUUAUUUGUAUAGCGCUUUUCAUACACAAGGCAGACUCAAAGUGCUUCACAUCAUAACAUUUCAUACAAUAAAGUGAAAAUAAAAUGCAGGAAUUAAAAGACAAUUAAAAACAGCAAAUAAAAUUAUAAGUUAAAAUCUUAUUUAAAUUGUUUAAUUAAAGGCAGAGGUUAAAAUGCAAAAUGUAGGUAAAAUUUUGCAGAAGGCGAAGCUGAACAUAAAAGUUUUCAGUCUUGUUUUAAACGUGGUCAGAGUUGGGGCAAGUCUUAAAUCUUCAGGAAGUUUAUUCCAGCUGUUUGUUGCGUAGUAACUAAAUGAUGCUUUCCCAUGAUUUGUAUUUACUCUGGGAAUCACUAACAGAUUGGUGUCAGAAGAUCUUAGUGAUCUUGAAGGCUUAUGUAGUGGAAGCAUAUCAGUGAUAUACUUUGGCCCUAAACCAUGUAGUGUUUUUUGUUAGUCUUUUAGUCAGAGUCUGAAGAGGUGUGUCUUUAGUUUGUGGCAGAAGAUGUGAAGGCUCUCUGCGAUCCUAGUGUCAUCGGAGAGCUCGUUCCACCAUUUCGGAGCAAGGACAGCAAAGAGUUGUGAUCUAGCCAGUAAAGAGAGCGGAGGAGUGGGGUAGUGUGGGAGAAUUUCGGAAGGUUGAAGACCAGUCGAGCUGCUGCAUUCUGAAUGAGCUGCAGAAGUCGAAUGGCGGUGGCAGGGAGACCAGCCAGGAGGGAGUUACAGUAGUCCAGGCGGGAGAUGACAAGAGCCUGAAUCAGUACCUGCGCUGCCUUC